rnacentral:lncRNA from 1 species
GUUUAAGUUAGUUUUCAAGCCCCUUGAGCAUAUGGGAGAGAGUAUGCAUGAUUGGGAGAGAGUAUGUGAGGUUUGGUUUGUUUUAGUGGUUUUGGCUUAUGUGGGUCAUAAGCUAGUUAUGUAUGUUUCUUGAUGUUGUUUUUGGGAGUUUAAGCUUGUCUAAGCUCCUUUAUGCAUGGUUAAGGAAGUAUGCAUGUGUUUGAGAAGUUGGGUGCUUGUUUUGGGGUGUAUGGAAGGUUUGGGAGGCUUGAAAUGCACAAAGGCUGAGUUCUGGAUGAACUCAGGUUCGGCCGCCGAAGG